AUGGUUUUAAGCAGCAGCACUCAUUUUUCCAAAGGAAACAGAAGGGCCACAUGCAUCACUCCCAAUGCUGGGCUGCCUUGGCUGACACCAAACCCACUGCCCUGGCGCCUCCUCUGGGACAAGCAUCGCUGCUCCAUGUCUGGUCUUGAGCUCUGCCUUCAUAUCUUGGUUACAAAGAACACAUUAAGGCUGCCGAGAGGACGGCCUUCUUUGCUUAAGGGUCUGAGGACAGCCUGUCUCUGGCAUGGAAAAAUCCAGAAUAUACAUCCAUCCAAAUGCAAGAAUGUGGGAGUUUGUGUAUUCAGGCCUUCACUCCACCAAAGGCUCCUUCACACAGGGUGUCUUCUAUGCUUUGGAGGUAAGGGUGGAAUAGAAUUAAGGUCAAAAUGCUCAGCCACUUCAUGAAUGAGGAUUCAGUGCUCAUCUUUCUUGCAGCAGUCCUGUGGUGGGCUGCCCACUAAGCCUUCGUCCAACAGGCUCUAUACUGGGCAAGAUGUUCAGCUCAUUCCAAGCUGUGCAUUUCUGCAGCCACGUUGAUACCAGGAUCUACUCCAUGCUGGUUCAACGUACAGUGCUGAAAAUUCGGGGGGGAACUGGAGGCUGUGGGUUGAGCACAUUUUCCUUGUGAGAGGAGAGAGAUAACUGUAAAUGCCUUGGUCUGCUGUGGGUGGGAAUUGUGAAUGUUUGCAGAGGCAUAUUUAAACAAGCACUACUUAGGCCUCUGCUCAAUAUGUCUUGAUCAUCCUCUAAUUACUGCUUCAGUGUCACCACUCCUGCUCCAGAGAGGCUAUGGAGCCACAGCAGCACUGCUCAGGAUUGAGCUGCUGCUUCUGUCCUCCUGAAAUCAUGUUUAGGACACGGAGGUGUCAGUGCUUUUUGAGCAAGGCUUCUUGCCACAAGCAAUGGAUUAAGUUGAAAUGGUAAACAGCCGUGUUCUCAGUCAACAACUUCAGACAAAGCUGACCACAGAGUUCCCCCUGUCUUCACUGACAAUAUCAGGCAAAACUUUGUCAUUAGCUCAGUUUUUCCCUUGUCAGUAAACUGAGAAGUGCAUCCCACCAGCCUCGCUCUGUCACAGCUCCUGCUGAGUAUGUGCAUGGCAACUCUGGCUUGGCUGCCAUGCUAUCAGUGUGCCGGUGACAUUCUGCUCUAUGUCUUUUUUUUCAUCAGAUCCAGAUGGUGUAAUUUCUUCUCCUUCUCUGAACCUGGCCAGGACAGAGGGCUGGAUGAGAAUCAGCUGGCAGGCCACCUGGCAGAGGGAUGCGAGGAGACAGGCGAGAGGAGCAGCCUGAGGUGCAGCAACAGGCUGCAACUGCACGGCCAUGGCCUAACAGCACCUACCUUUGCCAAUGCGGUUGGCUGUUUUCAAGAAUUUCCAGAAUCCGUCAGCUCAGUUCCCACAUGAUGAAUUUUCCAGACAGUGUCUUCCAGAGCAGUGCCUCGAGUAAGAGGCUGGACCCUGAUGUUUCUCAGUCUUGCUCCAGGUUGGCCUAGUGCAAGGUGCAUGCCUGGUGCGGCCUAGGGGCUGUGCAGAGGGCAUGGCCAGCACCUCUCUGUGCUGCCUAAUCUAUAUCAUCACCCUCAUUCUCAGAUUUGGGCAGCUCCUGGUAACAAUUUGAAGCACUCUGAGCUGAGCCUGGGACCUGGAAAGAAACAGAGCAGGCUGACAUUCAAAUCUGUCAUUUCUGUAUAGCCUGGAUUUGGCAACACCAUUGCAUUUCAUUUUUUGUGUUUGUUUGUUUGUUUGUUUAAAUUGCCUCACUUUUUUCUUGAGGAAGAAAACAAGAAUGAUAUGAAGUGCCCGGAAGCUCAGAAUUUUUGCUUAAAUGUUCUCAAAAGUACAUUGAAUUGAUUUUUCAUAUUUAUAGAGAUUUUAACUAAGGAAAACAAACAUCUGAAAUCCAACAAAAUACUACUUUUGAUGUGAUAUAUAGAUAUCUGUAGUUUAUACAGCUACGAAGUUAGGCUUUUCUGACCUUCCAGGAAUCAUGAAUACAUAGGCAUUCACAUGAGAAGGCGAUGAUGAUGUACAGCACAAUGAAGGCGGGCUGCUGAGAUAGUGAUCAACAGAAAGAUCCUGCAUGAGGGUAUAGUUGUAUUUUCUAGCUUACAUACUCUUAUUUGACUAAAUUCAUAUCUAAACUAGCCUGAAGCAGAUGGGGUGAUUAUCUUCUGUCAGUGCAGAUUUCCCAGAGACAUGAGUACAGCAUUUCAUAUCAGAGCAACACCUCCAAUCUGUACUUUUUUCCUGGUGGCCCACUUCAGUUUACCUUCUGAGGGCAGGUGUUUUAGAUCACACUUCUAAUUUAUUACUGAUGAGUAGUAGCUAGAUUGGAUCAAUGUAUGAAGUUUGCUGCAGCGGGGCUUAACAAGGCAGUACAAGGCAAUGUAUUUAUUCAAUUUAUAGUGAUGGAAACAAGCACAGUAACUACAGGCUUAUUCUGACUAUAAAUGACAUGUAUUUGUCACUUGCAGUACUGAGGGAACCUGAGCAACAGGAAACCUGUGUUUACCAGCAUUUUUAGCUUGCUUCAUGCAUCACUGAUUGUGGAAAUGAAACACAUCAAAAAAAGAUGAGAGCUCUACCAUCAGAUUCACCGGAGCUCUAACAUGCUGAGAGAUGUUCCUGUGGGAAGUUCCCAUCCGCCUUUACCUCGCAGAGAUACAGGAGCUUAUCCACCCACAACAGCCACAAAGACAGAACUGUUUUCAAGAUAUAAAUGCUUUCCUGAGUAUUAGAUCCUAGUAGAGAUGUUCUUGGUCCAAAGAUUUUAGAAUUUGGGAUGUUCCAUCUCCUCUACUGCAAUCUGAAUAAAUUACUUCAGUUUUCUAUGCA
ensembl:lncRNA